UUGAUGGAGCAUGUAAGGAAAGAAUUAAAGCAUUCACUGAAACAGGGUUACAAAGAGAAGAUUGUGGACAUUAGAGAAGAAAUUCUACGCAAGAGAAGGGCUGGAAAAUUACCGGGAGAUACCACUUCUCUCUUAAAAGCUUGGUGGCAAUCACAUUCUAAAUGGCCGUAUCCAACUGAGGAAGACAAAGCAAGAUUAGUUCAGGAAACAGGCUUGCAGUUAAAGCAGAUAAAUAACUGGUUCAUAAACCAAAGAAAAAGAAACUGGCAUAGCAACCCGUCAGGAUCUACUACGAAGAGCAAGCGCAAGAAGUGAAA
rnacentral:misc_RNA from 1 species